rnacentral:rRNA from 1 species
CGUAGUGGCGCACGGGUGCGUAACGCGUGGGAAUCUGCCCUUAGGUACGGAAUAACUCAGGGAAACUUGAGCUAAUACCGUAUAAUGACUCCGGUCCAAAGAUUUAUCGCCUAAGGAUGAGCCCGCGUAGGAUUAGCUAGUUGGUGAGGUAAAAGCUCACCAAGGCGACGAUCCUUAGCUGGUCUGAGAGGAUGAUCAGCCACACUGGGACUGAGACACGGCCCAG